CAGAGGGUGCGAGCGUUGUUCGGAAUUACUGGGCGUAAAGCGCGCGUAGGUGGUGUGUUAAGUCUGCCGGUCAAAUGCCGAGGCUCAACCUCGUUGCACGCCGGGGAUACUGGCACGCUAGAGACAAGUAGAGGCAAGCGGAAUUCCGGGUGUAGCGGUGGAAUGCGUAGAGAUCCGGAAGAACACCGGAGGCGAAGGCGGCUUGCUGGGCUUGAUCUGACGCUGAGGCGCGAAAGCGUGGGGAGCGAACAGGAUUAGAUACCCUGGUAGUCCACGCCGUAAACGAUGGGCACUAGACGCUGGUGGGAUCGACCCCUUCGGUGUCGCAGCUAACGCGAUAAGUGCCCCGCCUGGGGAGUACGGCCGCAAGGCUG
rnacentral:rRNA from 1 species